UACGAAGGGGGCUAACGUUGCUCGGAAUCACUGGGCGUAAAGGGCGCGUAGGCGGCCAUUUAAGUCGGGGGUGAAAGCCUGUGGCUCAACCACAGAAUUGCCUUCGAUACUGGAUGGCUUGAGACCGGAAGAGGUAAGUGGAACUGCGAGUGUAGAGGUGAAAUUCGUAGAUAUUCGCAAGAACACCAGUGGCGAAGGCGGCUUACUGGUCCGGAUCUGACGCUGAGGCGCGAAAGCGUGGGGAGCAAACAGG
rnacentral:rRNA from 1 species